rnacentral:rRNA from 1 species
CGAGCACGCGCGUGUGGCAUAUCAAUAAGCGGAGGAAAAGAAACUAACAAGGAUUCCCUUAGUAACGGCGAGUGAAGCGGGAAGAGCUCAAAUUUGAAAUCUUCAAGGUUCUACCUUGACGAAUUGUAGUUUAUAGAAGUGUUUUCUGUUAGUAGGAGUGGCAAAAGUUCCUUUGGAAUAGGACAUCAUAGAGGGUGAGAAUCCCGUAUUUGGUCAUUCCUUCUAGCGUUGUGAUACACUUUCAACGAGUCGGAUUGUUUGGGAAUGCAGUCCAAAAUGGGUGGUAAAUUUCAUCUAAAGCUAAAUAUUGGCGAGAGACCGAUAGCGAACAAGUACCGUGAGGGAAAGAUGAAAAGAACUUUGAAAAGAGAGUUAAACAGUACGUGAAAUUGUCAAAAGGGAAGCGUUUGACACCAGUGUUGUUUUUCGAAAAUCAAUUACGAAUGUUUUGUUUUUAAGGAGUUAUGACUUCAUCGGCUUGCUUCUUUCUUUACGAAACUUUCUUAAUGCACUUUUCGGUUAACAAGUCAACAUCAAUUUCUUUUGUUGUAAAAGGGUACUGAGGAAGGUGGCUUUCUUUUCGGAGAAAGUGUUUAUAGCCUUGUAGCCUCUGCAAUCGGAGAGAUUGAGGUCUGCAGCGUAGAUCCUUCGGGGUUAGAUACAGUUUGUGCUAAGUUAUAGCUUUUCAUAGACAACUUGUUGACUAUGUUAGUCUUGUAGCUUACUCGCUUAUGCUAUUUUACCUACGCUUAGGAUGUUGAUGUGAUACUGCGAGCA